rnacentral:rRNA from 1 species
AUUGAACGCUGGCGGCAGGCCUAACACAUGCAAGUCGAGCGGAUGAGGAAAGCUUGCUUUUCGAUUCAGCGGCGGACGGGUGAGUAAUGCCUAGGAAUCUGCCUGUUAGUGGGGGAUAACUCGGGGAAACUCGGGCUAAUACCGCAUACGUCCUACGGGAGAAAGUGGGGGAUCUUCGGACCUCACGCUAACAGAUGAGCCUAGGUCGGAUUAGCUAGUAGGUGAGGUAAUGGCUCACCUAGGCGACGAUCCGUAACUGGUCUGAGAGGAUGAUCAGUCACACUGGAACUGAGACACGGUCCAGACUCCUACGGGAGGCAGCAGUGGGGAAUAUUGGACAAUGGGCGAAAGUCUGAUCCAGCCAUGCCGCGUGCGUGAAGAAGGUCUUCGGAUUGUAAAGCACUUUAAGUUGGGAGGAAGGGUAUUCACCUAAUACGUGGGUACUUUGACGUUACCAACAGAAUAAGCACCGGCUAACUCUGUGCCAGCCGCCGCUGUAAGAC